rnacentral:rRNA from 1 species
AAACUCAAAUGAAUUGACGGGACCGCACAAGCGGUGGAUGAUGUGGUUAAUUCGAUGCAACGACGAAAACCUUACCCACCUUUGACAUGUACGGAACCCUUUAGAGAUAGAGGGGUGCUCGAAAGAGAGCCGUGACACAGGUGCUGCAUGGCUGUCGUCAGCUCGUGUCGUGAGAUGUUGGGUUAAGUCCCGCAACGAGCGCAACCCUUGUCAUUAGUUGCUACAUUCAGUUGGGCACUCUAAUGAGACUGCCGGUGACAAGCCGGAGGAAGGUGGGGAUGACGUCAAGUCCUCAUGGCCCUUAUAGGUGGGGCCUACACACGUCAUACAAUGGCUGGUACAAAGGGUUGCCAACCCGCGAGGGGGAGCCAAUCCCAUAAAGCCAGUCGUAGUCCGGAUCGUAGUCUGCAACUCGACUACGUGAAGUCGGAAUCGCUAGUAAUCGUGGAUCAGAAUGUCACGGUGAAUACGUUCCCGGGUCUU